GGAAUCUUGCGCAAUGGGGGCAACCCUGACGCAGCCACGCCGCGUGCCGGAAGACGGCCCUAUGGGUUGUAAACGGCUUUUGGUUGGGAAGAACUAGUGGGUUUCGACCUGCUUUGACGGUACCAAUUGAAUCAGCACCGGCUAACUCCGUGCCAGCAGCCGCGGUAAUGCGGAGGGUGCAAGCGGUGUCCGGAAUCAUUGGGUGUAAAGGGUGCGUAGGCUGGCGCUUAAGUCUGAGGUGAAAUCUUGCCGCUUAACGGUAAAAUGGCCUUGGAUACUGAGUGUCUUGAAUCUGACAGAGGUCGGUGGAAUUCGUAGUGUAGCGGUGAAAUGCAUAGAUAUUACGAAGAACAUCAGUGGCGAAGGCGGCCGGCUGGGUCAGUAUUGACGCUGAGGCACGAGAGCGUGGGGAGCG
rnacentral:rRNA from 1 species